UUAAACGUCCAUACCACGUUUAAUACACCGGUUUUCGUCCGAUCACCCAAGUUAAGCAACGUCGGGCUCGGUCAGUACUUGGAUGGGAGGUGGCAACGCUAGCGCGACCCUAUCU
rnacentral:rRNA from 1 species